GCGGAUAUGGUGGAAUGGCAGACACCGGGGACUUAAAAUCCCCUGCUCACAAGGCGUGUGGGUUCGAGUCCCACUAUCCGCA
rnacentral:tRNA from 1 species